rnacentral:rRNA from 1 species
CAGCACCUUCCUCGAUCCAACCGGCGACACGCCCUCCGCCCCGACCCCAACCGGCACUGCUGCCACCACCUCACACCCAUCGGAGACGCGGCCUCCGCCCCACCCCCGACCGGAGAACCUGCCGCCGCCCGGCCAUGCCCCAACUGGAGACGCGGCCGCCGCCCACACCCAGUCCUGCACUUCACUCCCCCUCGAUCCCCC